GGGAAACUCCAAGAGGGGCCAGCCCCAGGCCCGACAACAAAUCUUCGGGGCA
rfam:Cavia porcellus supercont2_175 genomic scaffold, whole genome shotgun sequence.